AUGCUCAAACCGGAACUGCUAGAGGAACGAAUUUUCAAUAGCAUAACUUGGGCUCCUAGAAUAUGGCGCCCUUGGGACAAUCUAUUUGAUUGCAGGGUUUUGUUCCGAAGCAAAGAUAUCCGCGGAGGCCGGUUCGUCCAUCCUAUUCUGAUAUUCAGGACCAAGAGGUACUGGAUUCUCUUUCGGAUAGGCCCUGAAAGGAGAAGAAAGGCUGAAAUGCCAACGGACCUCUGUCUAUUCUCUAAUUCACCCGAUCCGAUAGUACCCGUUUUUGGAACGUCCAGUGCCAAAGUCACUGUUUCAGUAAGUCACCAAUCCAAUCCCUUUGACAAAUCGGAUGUCAUAUUAGAUAUCAUAUUCUAUAUAUAUAGAAAUAUCAUAGAUAGAAUAGACAUAUAG
rnacentral:rRNA from 1 species